rnacentral:misc_RNA from 1 species
AAAUGAGAAACCAUCAAUUAUUAUCUUCCUUUAUAUGGCUAUGACUCCAUCCAGGUCCCCCCAUUUCUCAGCAUCCGGGAGAGGCAGAGAGAUGGGUGUCAAGUACUGCUUGUUGAGAUUGCUGCCGUUUGCAGCCCUGGUAAUGCUGGAAUGCGUUGAUACGGGCUUGACCACAAUAAGCAAAGCAGCCAUGUCCAAGGGAAUGAGCCACUUUGUUUUUGUUGUCUACUCAAAUGCUCUUGCCACUGUCAUGAUGUUCCUUUUUUCUUUCUUCUUCAACAGGACAAAGAGACCACCACUUACCUACUCCCUCCUCUGCAAAUUCUUCCUCCUCAGCCUUGUUGGAAUUAC